rnacentral:tRNA from 1 species
UGAUGAUUGGUGUAACCGGCAGCACACGUGGCUCUGAACCACGUAGGUCUUGGUUCGAAUCCAGGGUCAUCAG